GCUUCCCUGCCUGGUUCGCCAAGGUCAUAGACUCCUUGAACCAAUGCCAUGUGCACGGUUGCGGAAAUUUGCAGCAUGGGCGUGCGCGUCACUCUGUCUGACGUACCCGAAGUGCUGCUAACUGCGACCAAUUCUGAACCUUAGGUUCAGGAUGCCGGCCUAGCGGCCAAGGCGGGGACCUU
rfam:Burkholderia rhizoxinica HKI 454, complete genome